AUUGAACGCUGGCGGCAUGCUUUACACAUGCAAGUCGGACGGCAGCACAGAGAAGCUUGCUUCUUGGGUGGCGAGUGGCGAACGGGUGAGUAAUAUAUCGGAACGUACCGAGUAAUGGGGGAUAACUAAUCGAAAGAUUAGCUAAUACCGCAUAUUCUCUGAGGAGGAAAGCAGGGGACCUUCGGGCCUUGCGUUAUUCGAGCGGCCGAUAUCUGAUUAGCUAGUUGGUGGGGUAAAGGCCUACCAAGGCGACGAUCAGUAGCGGGUCUGAGAGGAUGAUCCGCCACACUGGGACUGAGACACGGCCCAGACUCCUACGGGAGGCAGCAGUGGGGAAUUUUGGACAAUGGGCGCAAGCCUGAUCCAGCCAUGCCGCGUGUCUGAAGAAGGCCUUCGGGUUGUAAAGGACUUUUGUCAGGGAAGAAAAGGCUGUUGCUAAUACCGACAGCUGAUGACGGUACCUGAAGAAUAAGCACCGGCUAACUAC
rnacentral:rRNA from 1 species